CCUGGAGAUAAUGAAUCCUGCAAGUCUGUUUUAUGCUAUAUAACGGGCGUUAUUUUUCCGUCUACGAACCGUUAUUUUGGGGGUAGCAGCCCUUCGCUGAUCCUAUAAAUUCCCGGUGUCCAGAACGUUCCAUCCCACCAGGCGAAAACUAGGGUUUUGAGAUGGCGGCUGGGAUGCAUAGUUCCAUGGCUGGUUCCUCGUCCUCACAAUCUUUCUUUUCUCCCAAUGAAAAGUGAGGCAGAAUGUCAUGUAUCGGUGUUUAUGCUCUUGUACGUGCAUUGUCAUUGAGUGUUCCCUGCCAAAAGCGAUCUUUUGAGCGAAAGGAACAUCGGGAAAACCUAAUUUUUCAUUGGGUGUCGCGACAAUUGCUUCUGCUCACAUCCUCUCCAUGAACAGCGAGAAUUCGCGUUUGUUGAUCUAUGAGGCAGGUUAGUGUGUAUCACCGAAAGUUUUUCCAGCAAAAGCGAUUUAUGGGGUAAAUUGACAUCGACAAACCUUCAUUUUUUUGGAUGUCUCGACAAUUUAUUUUCCUCAAAUGCCUGUCAAAAACAGGUUUUCAUUGAAAUUAAUCGUUUCCUUUGCCGUAUUCUAGCUAUUGGUGUUCCGGUUUUCUUUGAAUCUUCAGAUCUCACACAUUUGUUCUCAAAGCCCGAUGAUGGAAAAUACAUAUGAAUUUAGAGGCAGUUAUGGCUAUCUAAUGUUGUUAACCGACCCAUGCUAUUUUAUCACCUCCAUUCUCAUCGUAACCUCCGUUACCGCCGCCGCCUCCUCCUCCUCUUCCUCCUCCAUCAACUACGUUUGACGUUCUCACUUUCAAUGCAUGUGAAGGCGAGCUACAUGAGAUGCCAUAAACUAAUCCUCGAUGAUUGCUAAAAGCUAUGAGAUCUGAGGGCUUUUGUGUGUCAAAAUGUUUAGGGUUUAGGGUCUUGGAUUAAGUUUUCAAUGGAUGCUCUGUUUGCCGUCUUCAGUUCUGACGUUUUUCCACAAAAAUUGCUAUUUGAGCAUGCUGAUAGUGUUCAUUAGGCAAAGUUUCUAACUGUUCUUAUUUGAUUCUUAAUUUAUGAUGAAUGCAUCUGGGCUUAAUCUUUUUGAAACUUUUAGUAUUAGAUUUAAAUACACUUCUGGUAUCCUAUAUACAUGAAUUUGUACACUCUUAUAAAUUCUCUCAUCCAACUGGCCCUUGUUAAAAAAACUACUUCUAAUGUCCUAUAUACAUGAAUUUCUAGACUCUUGUAAAUUCUCUAGCAAUCCAACUGGCUCUUGUUGAACAAGCUACUAUUAUGUGUCCUCCCCAUACAAGAUGAAUCAAAGAUGACAAAGUAGUAGUCAUCCUUGCUAUAGUAUUGGCCAUAAACUCGAAGGAUCUGUCUAUAGCUGGACAUCUCCUGUGUUCUUAAAUCUAUGCUUUCAUAAAUCUGUGAUAGUUAGAUAUUUAUAAAUAGUACACUAUUGAUCUAGAUUGUUGACUUUUAAAAAAUAGAUAAUAACUCUAGGUAAUAAAUUUUUAACAUAUUAUCUAGCUUAGCUUUUUGUUUGAGAUAGUUGCAAGGAUCAUAAUGUGAAUUAUUUUUUUAUUACUCAAAUAUAUAUAUUUUUUAUUUUUUUGUAAAAUGUGGAUUUACUGGAGGCGAACUAGAAGAUAAAUUUAGUUAUUAUUUGGAUCCGAACAGGACAACUAACAAUUCAAGUUAGUUUGCUGGAUUGCGAUCUGUUGAAGGAGGAUAAGAUUGGUCACAUAUUAGAUUUUGCUCGUUUGUGAGAUUAGUAGGGAAGAGUUUAUAUGGAUACUAUUUUGUUUAUAUCUCAGAUAUAUGUUACCUGUUGAUUUAAAAACUUAUGGUUAUUUUUGACCGAGAUUACUUGAAAUGAUUUGGUUUUGAAUUUUGAUAUUUGAAUUUAGAUAAAACUUUAGUAAUGGGGAUCCAAACAAUAUAACUAUUCUUUCAAGCCACUUUCCAGGAUUGAGGUCUGUCCAGAAGAAGGUUGAUGUACAUGUAUUAAAUCUCACUCGAUGUUAAAAUGGUGUCGGAAAGAGUUGAUAUGCAUACUAAAGGAGUAAAGGUGGAGUAUGAGCACCUGGACGGUGCCGAGUCCUUAAAUCAUCGACGAGGAUUUGGCCGGCGGCGCCGCACACGGCCGUUCUAAGUCAACAAGUACACUGGUACAAAAAUGUCGUCCAGUAAAGAAGAAAAAGGUCAUAAUAAUGGAGACUCAUUCAUGGGUCGUCUUCUUUUCUGGGAAAAGCUCACAUCCCACUCUACACCACACAGCUCGACUGCUGCCUCCAGAAGCUGAGCAUCCGAAAACAAAAAUAAUAUAAUUCAUCUUCAGUAUCACCGGUCCCAUAUAACUAUGAGAUAUAUGUUAUCCUAAUAAAGGUCUUUUGUAUAGGAAAUAUUAGACAUUAAUAAGGCAUUUUGCCUUGAUGGCGUGGGAAAUGGGACCUACGCUAUAUCAAAAACAGAGGAAGAAUUCUAAAAUUUACAAGUACCAUUGUACCAUGCUUCAAUAAACAUGAUGUAAACAUUUCAAUAACAUAAAUAUCGCACUUAAAUGUAAUUGUACUUUACAA